UCCAGACUCCUACGGGAGGCAGCAGUGAGGAAUAUUGGUCAAUGGGCUUACGCCUGAACCAGCCAAGUCGCGUGAGGGAAGACUGCCCUAUGGGUUGUAAACCUCUUUUGUCAGGGAGCAAUUGGCGCUACGUGUAGCGUUAUCGAGAGUACCUGAAGAAAAAGCAUCGGCUAACUCCGUGCCAGCAGCCGCGGUAAUACGGAGGAUGCGAGCGUUAUCCGGAUUUAUUGGGUUUAAAGGGUGCGUAGGCGGAAUGCCAAGUCAGCGGUAAAAAUUCGGGGCUCAACCCCGUCGUACCGUUGAAACUGAUGUUCUUGAGUGGGCGAGAAGUAUGCGGAAUGCGUGGUGUAGCGGUGAAAUGCAUAGAUAUCACGCAGAACUCCGAUUGCGAAGGCAGCAUACCGGCGCCCAACUGACGCUGAAGCACGAAAGCGUGGGUAUCGAACAGGAUUAGAUACCCCUGUA
rnacentral:rRNA from 1 species